UACGGGGGGGCAAGCGUUGUUCGGAAUUACUGGGCGUAAAGGGCUCGUAGGCGGCCAACUAAGUCAGACGUGAAAUCCCUCGGCUUAACCGGGGAACUGCGUCUGAUACUGGAUGGCUUGAGUUUGGGAGAGGGAUGCGGAAUUCCAGGUGUAGCGGUGAAAUGCGUAGAUAUCUGGAGGAACACCGGUGGCGAAGGCGGCAUCCUGGACCAACACUGACGCUGAUGAGCGAAAGCCAGGGGAGCAAACGGG
rnacentral:rRNA from 1 species